rnacentral:rRNA from 1 species
AUACGUAGGGUGCAAGCGUUAUCCGGAAUUAUUGGGCGUAAAGGGCUCGUAGGCGGUUCGUCGCGUCCGGUGUNGAAAGUCCGUCGCUUAACGGUGGAUCCGCGCCGGGUACGGGCGGGCUUGAGUGCGGUAGGGGAGACUGGAAUUCCCGGUGUAACGGUGGAAUGUGUAGAUAUCGGGAAGAACACCAAUGGCGAAGGCAGGUCUCUGGGCCGUCACUGACGCUGAGGAGCGAAAGCGUGGGGAGCGAACAGGAUUAGAUACCCUGGUAGUCCACGCCGUAAACGGUGGAUGCUGGAUGUGGGGACCAUUCCACGGUCUCCGUGUCGGAGCCAACGCGUUAAGCAUCCCGCCUGGGGAGUACGGCCGCAAGGCUAAAACUCAAAGAAAUUGACGGGGGCCCGCACAAGCGGCGGAGCAUGCGGAUUAAUUCGAUGCAACGCGAAGAACCUUACCUGGGCUUGACAUGUUCCCGACAGCCGUAGAGAUACGGUCUCCCUUCGGGGCGGGUUCACAGGUGGUGCAUGGUCGUCGUCAGCUCGUGUCGUGAGAUGUUGGGUUAAGUCCCGCAACGAGCGCAACCCUCGCCCUGUGUUGCCAGCACGUCGUGGUGGGAACUCACGGGGGACCGCCGGGGUCAACUCGGAGGAAGGUGGGGAUGACGUCAGAUCAUCAUGCCCCUUACGUCCAGGGCUUCACGCAUGCUACAAUGGCCGGUACAACGGGAUGCGACCUCGUGAGGGGGAGCGGAUCCCUUAAAACCGGUCUCAGUUCGGAUUGGAGUCUGCAACCCGACUCCAUGAAGGCGGAGUCGCUAGUAAUCGCGGAUCAGCAACGCCGCGGUGAAUGCGUUCCCGGGCCUUGUACACACCGCCCGUCAAGUCAUGAAAGUGGGUAGCACCCGAAGCCGGUGGCCCAACCUUUUGGGGGGAGCCGUCUAAGGUGAGACUCGUGAUUGGGACU